AUUGAACGCUGGCGGCAUGCUUUACACAUGCAAGUCGAACGGUAACAGGCCGCAAGGUGCUGACGAGUGGCGAACGGGUGAGUAAUGCAUCGGAACGUGCCCAGUCGUGGGGGAUAACUACUCGAAAGAGUAGCUAAUACCGCAUACGAUCUAUGGAUGAAAGCGGGGGACCGUAAGGCCUCGCGCGAUUGGAGCGGCCGAUGUCAGAUUAGGUAGUUGGUGGGGUAAAGGCUCACCAAGCCAACGAUCUGUAGCUGGUCUGAGAGGACGACCAGCCACACUGGGACUGAGCCACGGCCCAGACUCCUACGGGAGGCCGCAGUGGGGAAUUUUGGACAAUGGGCGCAAGCCUGAUCCAGCAAUGCCGCGUGCAGGAAGAAGGCCUUCGGGUUGUAAACUGCUUUUGUACGGAACGAAACGGCUCUGGUUAAUACCCGGGGCUAAUGACGGUACCGUAAGAAUAAGCACCGGCUAACUACGUG
rnacentral:rRNA from 1 species